rnacentral:rRNA from 1 species
CGCAGCCGCGGUAAUUCCAGCUCCAAUAGCGUAUAUUUAAGUUGUUGCAGUUAAAAGCUCGUAGUUGAAUUUCGGGGUCAGUAGGUCGGUCGUGCCACUGGUAUGAACUGGUCUCACUGAUUCCUCCCUCUUGUAGAACCGUGAUGCCAUUAAUUUGGUGUUGCGGGGAAACAGGACUGUUACUUUGAAAAAAUUAGAGUGUUUAAAGCAAGCUAACGCCUGAAUACAUUAGCAUGGAAUAAUGAAAUAGGACGUCGAUCUUAUUUUGUUGGUUUCUAGGGUUUGACGUAAUGAUUAAUAGGGAUAGUUGGGGGCAUUAGUAUUCAAUUGUCAGAGGUGAAAUUCUUGGAUUUAUUGAAGACUAACUACUGCGAAAGCAUUUGCCAAGGAUGUUUCCAUUAAUCAAGAACGAAAGUUAGGGGAUCGAAGACGAUCAGAUACCGUCGUAGU